UAUCAUUUAGAGGAAGGAGAAGUCGUAACAAGGUUU
rnacentral:rRNA from 1 species